rnacentral:rRNA from 1 species
AGCAGCCGCGGUAAUUCCAGCUCCAAUAGCGUAUAUUAAAGUUGUUGCAGUUAAAAAGCUCGUAGUUGAAUUUCGGGGUUAGUAGGUUGGUCAUGCCUCUGGUAUGUACUGGUCUCACUGAUUCCUCCUUCCUGAUGAGCCGUAAUGCCAUUAAUUUGGUGUUGCGGGGAAUUUGGACUGUUACUUUGAAAAAGUUAGAGUGUUUAAAGCAAGCUAACGCUUGAAUACAUUAGCAUGGAAUAAUGAAAUAGGACGUUCGAUCCUAUUUUGUUGGUUUCUAGGAUUGACGUAAUGAUUAAUAGGGAUAGUUGGGGGCAUUAGUAUUCAAUUGUCAGAGGUGAAAUUCUUGGAUUUAUUGAAGACUAACUACUGCGAAAGCAUUUGCCAAGGAUGUUUUCAUUAAUCAAGAACGAAAGUUAGGGGAUCGAAGACGAUCAGAUACCGUCGUAGUCUUAACCAUAAACUAUGCCGACUAGGGAUCGGAUGAUGUUAAUUUU